AACAACAGCAGCAGCAGCAGCAACAACAACAGCAAGGUGCACAACAACUCCAGCAAGAUGCAGAACUACAACACCAACAGUCCCCUCCAGCAGCUGCGUUUU
rnacentral:rRNA from 1 species